AUACGUAGGUGACAAGCGUUAUCCGGAUUUACUGGGCGUAAAGGGCGUGUAGGCGGUCUUGCAAGUCAGAAGUGAAAUUCCUGAGCUCAACUCGGGCGCUGCUUCUGAAACUGCAGGACUUGAGUGCUGGAGGGGAUAGCGGAAUUCCUAGUGGAGCGGUAAAAUGCGCAGAUAUUAGGAAGAACACCGGUGGCGAAGGCGGCUAUCUGGACAGUAACUGACACUGAGGUACGAAAGUGUGGGGAGCAAACAGGAUUAGAUACCCUGGUAGUCCACACCGUAAACGAUGAGCACUAGGUGUCGGGCUCGCAAGAGUUCGGUGCCGCAGUUAACGCAUUAAGUGCUCCGCCUGGGGAGUACGUACGCAAGUAUGAAACUCAAAUGAAUUGACGGG
rnacentral:rRNA from 1 species